CCGGAAGUGCUACCCGUUCUGGUCCAUUAUUGGGCCCGCGUGCAGCACAGUCUUCUGGGUAAUGUAGUUUUGAUAGUGUUUCCCACAAUGUCCUACCAAACUGGGAGCUCUGCACCCAAUAAGUUUGAGAGGCGCUCAAAGGUCCCAGUUUCUCGCAAAUGCGGAGAAAUCUAGAGGACGAAGUCUGUGGGGAAGGACCCAGGAACAAGGAUACUUCCUACCAAGAUCGUUUUUCUGAGCUGGUGAUAGAAAAUGUAGCUUAACAUUUUUCGUGGGGAGGAUGCUGGAAUCCUCAUCUCAACAUACUAUUCCAUCAUUCAUCCUUAGGUAUUUUGUGGCCCAAGACAGCCUCCACAAAGACACGGACUUCUGGGUCACUAGAUCAUUGGCUUUGCGGUCUCCUGACGUGUGAAGGCUGAAAGGAUAGGAGGUUUAGGGGCCUCAGAGUCAAUCUGAUAAGUCUCUAAGAUAGAAAAGUAAACAGUCAUAUAGGCAAGUCAGCCUAUGUCUGAACACGGGGAAUGGACCUAAGCCUGGGCAUAUAAAUUUGGGAGUUGUGAGCCCUAUGUGGUUGUUCACACUUACAGUCCCAGCAUUCAGGAGAGUGAUGCAGGAGAAUUGCCAUAAACACCAUGGCAGCCUGGGCUACAGAGUUCUCCCUCCCCAUCUAUUCCCUCUUUCUUUUUUGAGAUAUAUAAACUCUAUACUCUCGACUUCCAGCCAGCCACGUGCUUUCCUGUGAUUUCAGCACUUGAGAAGUGGAGAUCAGGAGUUUGAAGUCAUACUCAGCCCUAUGCCUUGUGAACACUGAGUUUCUAGGCAUUAGGCACCACACCUGCCUUCAGUGAUGGCUUCCUACAGAUGGAGAUUUGCUGUUACAGGGAGAGUGACCUUUGAGGACAUCACUGUGACCUUCACCCCAGAGGAGUGGCAGGGUUUGAACCCUGAGCACAGACACUUGUAUAAGGAUGUGAUGUUGGAGAACUACAGCAACCUGGCCUCUGUGGAAAAAGACCAGGAUAUUGAAAGGCAAG